CUACGGGACGCAGCAGUGAGGAAUUUUGCGCAAUGGGGGCAACCCUGACGCAGCAACGCCGCGUGAGUGAAGAAGGCCUUUGGGUCGUAAAGCUCUGUCGACAGGGAAGAAGUUAUUGUUGCUUAACAGAUGACAGUAUUGACGGUACCUGUAGAGGAAGCACCGGCUAACUCCGUGCCAACAGCCGCGGUAAUACGGGGGGUGCAAGCGUUAUUCGGAAUUAUUGGGCGUAAAGGGCGCGUAGGCGGUCUUGUCGGUCAGAUGUGAAAGCCCAGGGCUCAACCCUGGACGUGCAUUUGAAACAGCAAGACUUGAGUACGGGAGAGGAAAGCGGAAUUCCUGGUGUAGAGGUGAUAUUCGUAGAUAUCAGGAGGAACACCGAUGGCGAAGGCAGCUUUCUGGACCGAUACUGACGCUGAGGCGCGAAGGUGUGGGUAGCGAACGGGAUUAGAUACCCCAGUAGUC
rnacentral:rRNA from 1 species